rnacentral:rRNA from 1 species
GUGUCAGCCGCCGCGGUAAAACGUAGGAGCCAAGCGUUAUCCGAAUUCACUGGGCGUAAAGCGCGUGCAGGCGGCCUGUUAAGUUGGAUGUGAAAUCUCCUGGCUCAACUGGGAGGGGACGUUCAAUACUGGCGGGCUAGAGGGCAAUAGAGGGAGGUGGAAUUCCGGGUGUAGUGGUGAAAUGCGUAGAUAUCCGGAGGAACACCAGUGGCGAAAGCGGCCUCCUGGAUUGCACCUGACGCUCAGACGCGAAAGCUAGGGGAGCGAACGGGAUUAGAAACCCCGGUAGUCCUAGCCGUAAACGAUGUUAACUGGGUGUUGGUGGGGUAAAAGCCAUCAGUGCCGAAGCAAACGCGAUAAGUUAACCGCCUGGGGACUACGGCCGCAAGGUUAAA